rnacentral:rRNA from 1 species
AUACUGGGAUUCGGUAUUGCAUGUACAGGAUAGGUGGGAGGCUUUGAAGCGGUGACGCCAGUUGCCGUGGAGCUGCUGUUGGGAUACCACCCUUGCAGUACUGGGUUUCUAACCAGCGGCCUUUAUCAGGUCGGGGGACAAUGUCAGGUGGGGAGUUUGACUGGGGCGGUCGCCUCCGAAAGGGUAUCGGAGGCGCUCAAAGGUUCCCUCAGAAUGGUCGGAAACCAUUCGAAGAGUGCAAAGGCAGAAGGGAGCUUGACUGCGACACCGACGGGUGGAGCAGGUACGAAAGUAGGACUUAGUGAUCCGGUGGUAUAAAGUGGGAUUGCCAUCGCUCAACGGAUAAAAGCUACCCUGGGGAUAACAGGCUUAUCACUCCCAAGAGUUCACAUCGACGGAGUGGUUUGGCACCUCGAUGUCGGCUCAUCGCAUCCUGGGGCUGAAGUAGGUCCCAAGGGUUGGGCUGUUCGCCCAUUAAAGCGGUACGCGAGCUGGGUUCAGAACGUCGUGAGACAGUUCGGUCCCUAUCCGGCGUGGGCGUAGGAUAUUUGAGAGGAGCUGUCCUUAGUACGAGAGGACCGGGAUGGACUGGCCGCUGGUUGAUCUGUUGUUCCGCCAGGAGCAUAGCAGAGUAGCCAAGCCGGGACGGGAUAAACGCUGAAGGCAUCUAAGCGUGAAGCCCCCCUCAAGAUGAGAUAUCCCAACGAAAGUUGUAAGACCCCUUGAAGACGACGAGGUAGAUAGGACAGAGGUGGAAGUGUGGUAACACAUGGAGCUGACUGUUACUAAUAGGUCGAGGGCAUAACCAAG